UCGAACGGAAAGGCCCUGCUUUUGUGGGGUGCUCGAGUGGCGAACGGGUGAGUAACACGUGGGUAACCUGCCCUUGACUUUGGGAUAACUUCAGGAAACUGGGGCUAAUACCGGAUAGGAGCUCCUGCUGCAUGGUGGGGGUUGGAAAGUUUCGGCGGUUGGGGAUGGACUCGCGGCUUAUCAGCUUGUUGGUGGGGUAGUGGCUUACCAAGGCUUUGACGGGUAGCCGGCCUGAGAGGGCGACCGGCCACAUUGGGACUGAGAUACGGCCCAAACUCCUACGGGAGGCAGCAGUGGGGAAUAUUGCACAAUGGACGGAAGUCUGAUGCAGCAACGCCGCGUGCGGGAUGACGGCCUUCGGGUUGUAAACCGCUUUCAAUUGUGACGAAGCUUUUUGUGACGGUAGCAGUAGAAGAAGCACCGGCUAACUACGUGCCAGCAGCCGCGGUAAU
rnacentral:rRNA from 1 species